rnacentral:rRNA from 1 species
AUUGAACGCUGGCGGCAUGCUUAACACAUGCAAGUAGAACGAGUGGCGGACGUGUGUGUAAUGCUUGGGAAUCUAGCUUAUGGAGGGGGAUAACUACGGGAAACUGUAGCUAAUACCGCGUACCAUAGGAGGAGCCCAAGUGGGAUUAGGUAGUUGGUGUGGUAAAGGCUAACCAAGCCGACGAUCUCUAGCUGGUCUGAGAGGAUGACGAGCACACUUGGGAUUGAGACACGGCCCAGACGCCUAGGGGAGGAAGCAGUGGGGAAUAUUGCGAAAUGGGGGCAACCUGACGCAGCCAUGCCGCGUGAAUGAAGAAGGCCUGCGGGUUGUAAAGUUCUUUCGGUAGCGAGGCGUUAACUAAAGAAGAAGCACCGGCUAACUACGUGCCAGCAGCCGCGGUAAUUC